AAGGUUAUGAUGAGCUGUGCAACUGUCUUGUUUAUCCACAGUUCGCUGUUUCAUUGCAGCGCCCCUUGUCACAAAAAGAAUUUAACCAUUUACAGAGCAGUGCCAGGAACAUCCAUCCGGGUGACUCUUCCACCUUGAAUUCAAGGUGAGUUGCUCUACUGAUUUCCAUCUUAUUUCCCUCAUGGUUUGGGUUGGAAAUGGUGAGGAGCUCUGAUGAGCUCCAUGUAACUGAUAUGAGGUUAAGUGGCAUUUCCACUGACUUUCAAAGGGUUAUGUGCAAACAGUCCUGGCUGUCUUUCUCUGUAGUCUCUUGGAUCCAAGGGUUUUGGCUUUCAAUCUUCGCCUUGCACUCUGCCAAAACCUCUAGUCAGUGUUUGUGCUUUGGUGGCGCUCAGUGUGAUGGAUAAAUUCUCACUUACCCUUCUAGGAGGAGGUGAAGAGGAAAGCUGAAGUCUUUAAUCUGCCUGUGAACAAAAACAGCUUGUGGCGGAUGUGAAUGGCUGAGUAGCGAUAUGCAAGCUACCCUGAAAGUACACAGAAUGGUCAGCUUUGGCACAGCAGCGCCGUACUGGCUGAAGGAUGAUUCACAUAUCUGAAAAAUAAAAGAACCUGCUGGCUGGGCUGAAACACAGAAUGGCUUCCACUGAAGAUGUAUAUGGAAUCAGAGAGCUAUUCCACACCUGUAAACUGGACAACCAUCGUGUUGCCUGUGGGAUCUGUUCAGGCCACAUCUAUUAGAAACCUGGCCUAUGCAGUCCAGAAGACCGUGAGAGAUGGAUGGUGCUGGCGUGCGGCCACUUUGGAGGACAGAGCCGGAUCAGCCUGCUGGGGAAAGGCGCAGACAAAUGGAGCCUGCAGGACAAGCAUGCCAUUACCUUGUUUGCCAAACUCAUUACAGAGAAGUUGCAAAGUUCCAGUAUGCUGCCCCUGGCCUCUGAGACAAAGCUGUCAGCUCAUUUGUGAAUAA
rnacentral:lncRNA from 1 species